rnacentral:rRNA from 1 species
UACAGAGGGGGCAAGCGUUGUUCGGAAUUACUGGGCGUAAAGGGCGCGUAGGCGGCCUGUUAAGUCGAACGUGAAAUCCCUGGGCUCAACCCAGGAACUGCGUCCGAUACUGGCAGGCUUGAAUCCGGGAGAGGGAUGUGGAAUUCCAGGUGUAGCGGUGAAAUGCGUAGAGAUCAGGAGGAACACCAGUGGCGAAGGCGGCAUCCUGGACCGGUAUUGA